rnacentral:rRNA from 1 species
GACGAACGCUGGCGGCGUGCUUAACACAUGCAAGUCGAACGGAAAGGCCCUGCUUUUGUGGGGUGCUCGAGUGGCGAACGGGUGAGUAACACGUGAGUAACCUGCCCUUGACUUUGGGAUAACUUCAGGAAACUGGGGCUAAUACCGGAUAGGAGCUCCUGCUGCAUGGUGGGGGUUGGAAAGUUUCGGCGGUUGGGGAUGGACUCGCGGCAUAUCAGCUUGUUGGUGGGGUUGUGGCAUAACAAGGCUGUGACGGGUAGCCGGCCUGAGAGGGUGACCGGCCACAGUGGGACUGAGAUACGGCCGAGACUCCUACGGGGGGCAGCAGUGGGGUAUAUUGCACAAUGGGCGGAAGCCUGAUGCAGCAACGCCGCGUGCGGUAUGACGGCCUUCGGUUUGUAAACCGCUUGCGCCUGUGACGAAGCGUGAGUGACGGUAAUGGGUAAAGAAGCACCGGCUAACUACGUG